AUCGAACGCUAGCGGGAUGCUUUACACAUGCAAGUCGAACGAGUGGCGGACGGGUGAGUAAUAUAUUGGAACGUGCCCAGUCGCGGGGGAUAACUACUCUAAAGAGUGGCUAAUACCGCUUACUAUUCUAUCGGCCGAUAUCGGAUUAGCUAGUUGGGGGGGUAAAGGCUCACCAAGGCGACGAUCCGUAGCAGGGUUGAGAGGACGACCAGCCACACUGGGACUGAGACACGGCCCAGACUCCUACGGGAGGCAGCAGUGGGGAAUUUUGGACAAUGGGGGAAACCCUGAUCCAGCCAUCCCGCGUGUAUGAGAAGGCCUUCGGGUUGUAAAGUACUUUUGGCAGAGAAGCGGUAUCUGCAGAAUAAGCACCGGCUAACUACGUGCCAGCAGCCGCGGUAAUAC
rnacentral:rRNA from 1 species